CACGUAGGGGGCGAGCGUUUGUCCGGAUUUAUUGGGCGUAAAGAGCUCGUAGGCGGCUCAGUAAGUCGGGUGUGAAAACUCCAGGCUCAACCUGGAGACGCCACCUGAUACUGCUGUGGCUAGAGUCCGGUAGGGGAGCAUGGAAUUCCUGGUGUAGCGGUGAAAUGCGCAGAUAUCAGGAAGAACACCCGUGGCGAAGGCGGCUCUCUGGGACGGUACUGACGCUGAGACGCGAAAGCGUGGGGAGCAAACAGG
rnacentral:rRNA from 1 species